CGGCGAUUAGCGCAGUUGGUAGAGCGCCUGUCUUAUACACAGCAAGUCACUGGUUCAAUUCCAGUAUCGCCGA
rnacentral:tRNA from 1 species